GGGGGUGUUUCUGAACGACGCUGUGAGAGAAUCACUUUCCCCAAGAAAAGGUAUAGCAGAGGGGAAGGGAGAGACAGCAACAGAAAGUGAGGUCAAUUUCUCCACAUAUUCAGAACGUCCUAAAAGCUCCACAAAAUCUUCAUCAUGAGUGAUUACCAGAAGCUGGAAGUUACGCUGCUGUGAGCGACUUUUUAAAGGCUUACUCCUUCGCCUGGGAUUUUCCUGACCUGUUACUACUUUUCUCUGGAAGAAAAAUUUAAAAGUAAUAAAGACAAACUACAGUUACUUGGGUGAGUUGGCUCCCCAGGCUUUUGAGAUACCUGCCUUUUGUCCAGCACUGCAUCGUCCUCGCAUAUCCAAGGCUGUGUCUCCCUUCAGCAUCACCACUCGGUAGUUAUAAUUCCGCCUUUUAUCAGAAGCUGAUACAUUUUCAUCGGCAUCAGACCGUAUUUCUAUGUAUUCAAUAUCUGAC
ensembl:lncRNA TH2LCRR T helper type 2 locus control region associated RNA